UCUUCUCUCUCCUUUAUCCCCUCCUUUGAUAAAACUAUUUUCAUUAUCUUCUCCAUUUACUUCUGCAUCUAGAUAAAAAGCUCUCAAAUCUCCACUGCGAUUAAAGCUCUGUUAUUAACGCUCUGCUGCUAUUAAAAAAUCUUAUCCAUCUCCCCAUUCGGUAGAAAGAAAAUCUCCCAAAACAAUAUGUGAAUCAUCUCUGAAUUUAGGGAUUUAUCACCUUGAGGAGUUGUUGAAAUAACAAGCUGUAAGAUAACUCCUAUCCUUACGCAAGAGUAAACAUGAUCAGUUCCUGAAAUCUUAUGAAGAUUUGGUGAAUACCAAAUUCAACCGAUUGAUUUUGACUCCUAGAAUUUCUGCCCAGAACAAUCCCUAGAAAUCGACCAAGUAUAGCUGAUGUGGAAGCACCAUUCUGAGGACUUUUGCUCAGCGUAAUAAACCUAGAUUUGAGCCAAGCAAAGUGCGAAGAUGUUAUUUUUAAGCAGGCAUGGAUUACAUAUAUCUGGAGGAGAGCAAAAGCAGAUGUUGUAGAUGAAGAUAUCGCAGAAGAGAGACUUCAAUCUUGGAUGGAUCGUGUUGGUCAAAAACCAACAUCCUGAUGAUGCUGUUGAUGUGGGAAGAGGUCUUCUGGAACUGAGAAAGCUCGGAAUCAAACAGCAAAAUCGCGAAAUUGAAUUGAUGUAGGGAAAUUUUUCUACAACUACCAAUCACAAACCUACUGUAGAUAAUGAUGUCUCCCCUUGAUCAUGAUACUCCCUUCCCAAGACUGUCAAAUACAAGAAGGGAAGUUGGAUAUUGAACCAGGUAACCUAGACUGGCAUUUCAUUUUUAGAUCGUCAAUGGCUACAAUCAACAAUCAUAAUUAUUCCCUGUUUUCUAUAGUUUAGACCAGAUCACCACAUUGUAUGUCGAUUACAAAAUUUAGUCGUCUUCAUCAUCUCAGUAGUUACUUGUAUUACUUAAUACACAUUUAUAUCUCCA